CGAAUUCGUUUCUACCGGUGAC
rnacentral:miRNA from 14 species